CCUGGCCGGUGCCGGAAGGUUAUGAGGAGAAGUCAUUGCAAGAGAAGCUGUGAAUUGAAAGCUCCGGUAAACGGCGUCCGUAACUAUAACGGUCCUAAGGUAGCGAAAUUCCUUGUCGGGUAAGUUCCGACCUGCACGAAUGGUGUAAUGAUCCGGACACUGUCUCAACCGUGAGCUCGGUGAAAUUGUAGUAUCGGUGAAGAUGCCGAUUACCCGCAACGGGACGGAAAGACCCCGUGAACCUUUACUGCAGCUUAGCAUUGAAGCCGGGUGUGCGAUGUGUAGGAUAGUCAGGAGGCAGAGAAUCGGUCACGCCAGUGAUCGAGGAGCCGACGUUGAAAUACUGACCUUUGCACAUUUGGUUUCUAACUCGCAGGCGCGAGGACACUGCUUGGCGGGUAGUUUGACUGGGGUGGUCGCCUCCAAAAGAGUAACGGAGGCUUCUAAAGGUGCGCUCAGGCCGAUUGGUAACCGGCCGUAGAGUGUAAUGGCACAAGCGCGCUUGACUGUGAGACCGACAAGUCGACCAGGUAGGAAACUAGAGCAUAGUGAUCCGGUGGUUCCGCAUGGAAGGGCCAUCGCUCAAAGGAUAAAAGGUACUCCGGGGAUAACAGGCUGAUCCCUCCCAAGAGCUCAUAUCGACGGAGUGGUUUGGCACCUCGAUGUCGGCUCGUCACAUCCCGGGGCUGGAGAAGGUCCCAAGGGUUAGGCUGUUCGCCUAUUAAAGUGGCACGCGAGCUGGGUUCAGAACGUCGUGAGACAGUUCGGUCCCUAUCUGUUGUGGGCGCAGGAGAUUUGCGAGGCCCCGACACUAGUACGAGAGGACCGUGUUGGACAGACCUCCGGUGUGCCGGUUGUUCCGCCAGGAGCACCGCCGGGUAGCCGCGUCUGGUAAGGAUAAGUGCUGAAAGCAUCUAAGCACGAAGCCCCCCUCAAGAUAAGAUUUCCAUAUAAGGGUCGUCAGAGACGAUGACGUCGAUAGGUCGCAGGUGCAGGGACGGUAACGUCUACAGCCGAGCGAUACUAAUCACCCAAACCCUUUCCGGG
rnacentral:rRNA from 1 species